UACGAAGGGUGCAAACGUUAUUCGGAAUCACUGGGCGUAAAGGGUGCGUAGACGGCUUAUUAAGUUCGUUGUUAAAGGCUCCGGCCCAACCGGAGUAUUGCGAUGAAAACUGGUAAACUAGAGGGUGAGAGAGAGAAGUGGAAUUCCCGGAGUAGCGGUAAAAUGCGUGGAUCUCGGGAGGAACACCAAUGGCGAAGGCAGCUUCUUGGCUCAUACCUGACGUUGAGGCACGAAAGCGUGGGGAGCAAAC
rnacentral:rRNA from 1 species